rnacentral:ncRNA from 1 species
GUUCCAGAGUGAUAGGAAGGCGGUUUUAUCACCGUAUAGAUGUCACUUAAUCUUGUAAAUUGCUGGAAACUUUUUAUUUUAUUGAGGCAUACUACUUCUGCCUGCGAAGCUAGGGCGACAAGCCAAAAAUACAUAAAAACAAUCAGCAGGAAAACUUAAAAUAAAGGUUGGCAUACGCAGUAUCCGCUAUAUUUAAGGAUCUUCAGAGACUAUGCGCAAGACAUUUAAUAAGGUAUAGCAUAGGACAGGACUGGACCCUGCCUUUAUUAAAUGAAGAUAUAGUCCGAACAUAAAAGUGAUUUUAUG